CUCAGACAAAUGGCCAAAUAAAACUGUGUGUGUGUGUGUGUGUGUGUGUGUGUGUGUGUGUGUGUGUGUGUGUGUGUGUGUGUGUGUGUGUGUGUGUGUGUGUGUAGACCUGGUUGUGUCCUGAAAUAAUGUUACUGUCUGUGUGGAAUUUCAUAUGUUGUCCUCGGGUCUGUGUGGGUUUCUUCCGAAUUCUCUGGUUUCCUCCCACCUCCCAAAAACAUACCAGUAGGUUGAUUGACUACACUAAACUGGCUCUUUGUGUGAAUGAGUAUGAGUAUGUGAAUGUGUGUGCAUGAUGCCCUGCAACGGACUGGUGUUCCAUCCAGGGUGUUCCUGGGAUAGGCGACCCUGACCAAGAUAAAGCAGUUACUGAAGAUGAGUGAAUGAAUUAUUAGGUCAAGAUCUUGCACUAUCCUGAAAGAAAACUAAGAAGUUCCUGGAUGCCUGCUGUGUCACAUUUGCACAACAGCUAAAAGCAGAAGACAUUUGACUUCUACAAUGUAUGCAUCUCCAUGAGAUCCUCCAGUCAUAUUGGCAGAAAAGAUGCAGACAGGUUUUAGGAGGAAAUAUUUCUACUUCCAAGAGUCAACUGCAAAUUCAAGAUACUGACUGUGUGCUGUUUCACUGGCCCUCAAUACAACACGUCAUCAGAUCCUUGCGUUCUAUGAACUGGAACUUCAUCUUCAGGACUCUACAUAAUGCACUUUAUAUCCUAAGCACACCUGGGCGUUUUGUCUUGUACAGGGGUGAGUUUGUUUUUGGAGCUCAGGAAGGUGAUUCUUUUCUCCCUUCACUGUCAACACGUCCACUAAAGACGGUGAAGGAAUGCAGGCUGUAAUGCUGAAUGCCACAAUACUCAGUGCUCUUGCAGCACACGUGAGUGGUGGAGUGAUGCCUGAACAAAGUUUUUUGUAACACACCUGUGUGAGACAUGGCCAUCACCUGGUGAACUCCUGACCUGUAUAUCAAGAUAGCAGGAGAAGAGGGCAGAUGUGAACAGUAGGGUCUGUAAAAUCAUUUUGGGUUCAUGCUUAGGCUUUU
ensembl:lncRNA